AAAUCCCGAGGUGAGCGAGAGAACUGUUGCCAAGGAACUCGGCAAAAUGACUCCGUAAGUUAGCGAGAAGGAGUGCUUAAGCAAUUAAGCCGCAGUGAAGAGGCCCAAGCGACUGUUUAACUAAAACACAGCUCUCUGCGAAGUCGCAAGACGAAGUAUAGGGGGUGACACCUGCCCGGUGCUGGAAGGUUAAGAGGAUCUGUUAAGAGCGAUCUGAAGCAGUGAUCCGAAGCCCCAGUGAACGGCGGCCGUAACUACAACGGUCCUAAGGUAGCGAAAUUCCUUGUCAGGUAAGUUCUGACCCGCACGAAAGGUGUAACGAUUUGGGCGCUGUCUCAGCAGCAGACUCGGUGAAAUCUUAGUACCUGUGAAAAUGCAGGUUACCCGCAACUAGACGGAAAGACCCCAUGGAGCUUUACUGCAGCCUGAUAUUGAAUUCUGGUCAUACAUGUACAGGAUAGGUGGGAGACAAAGAAACGUGCACGCCAGUGUACGAGGAGUCGACGUUGGGAUACCACUCUUGUGUGACCGGGGUCCUAACCUGGUAUCGAGAACAGGUACGGGGAGAGUGUCAGGUGGGCAGUUUGACUGGGGCGGUCGCCUCCCAAAGAGUAGCGGAGGCGCCCAAAGGUACGCUCAGAUUGGAUGGAAACCAAUCGACGAGUGCAAUUGCAGAAGCGUGCUUGACUGUGAGACAGGCAAGUCGAACAGGGACGAAAGUCGGGAAUAGUGAUCCGGCGGUGCCGAAUGGAAGGGCCGUCGCUCAACGGAUAAAAGCUACCCUGGGGAUAACAGGCUGAUCUCGCCCAAGAGUUCACAUCGACGGCGAGGUUUGGCACCUCGAUGUCGGCUCAUCGCAUCCUGGAGCUGGAUUCGGUUCCAAGGGUUGGGCUGUCCGCCCAUUAAAGCGGUACGCGAGCUGGGUUCAGAACGUCGUGAGACAGUUCGGUCCCUAUCUGUUGUGGGCGAAGGAGAUCUGCGGAGAGCUGUCCUCAGUACGAGAGGACCGGGAUGGACCUACCGCUGGUGCACCGGUUGUUCCGCCAGGGGCAUAGCCGGGUAGCUAAGUAGGGAAAGGAUAAGCGCUGAAAGCAUCUAAGCACGAAGCCUACUCCAAGAUGAGAUCUCCCAUUCGCAAGAAGUAAGACCCCUUAAAGACGAUAAGGUAGAUAGGUCAGGGAUGGAAGUGCAGUGAUGUACGGAGUUGACUGGUACUAAUCGGUCGAGGACU
rnacentral:rRNA from 1 species